rnacentral:rRNA from 1 species
AAUUUUGGACAAUGGGGGCAACCCUGAUCCAGCCAUCCCGCGUGUGCGAUGAAGGCCUUCGGGUUGUAAAGCACUUUUGGCAGGGAAGAAAAGGCUCUGGCUAAUACACGGAGCUGCUGAAGGUACCUGCAGAAUAACCACCGUCUAACUCCGCGCCAGCAGCCGCGGUAAUACGUAGGGUGCAAGCGUUAAUCGGAAAUACUGGGCGUAAAGCGUGCGCAGGCGGUUCGGAAAGAAGGAUGUGAAAUUCCAGGGCUUAACCUUGGAACUGCAUUCUUAACUGCCGGGCUAGAGUAUGACAGAGGGGGGUAGAAUUCCGCGUGUAGCAGUGAAAUGCGUAGAGAUGCGGAGGAAUACCGAUGGCGAAGGCAGCCCCCUGGGAUAAUACUGACGCUCAUGCACGAAAGCGUGGGGAGCAAAC